rnacentral:SRP_RNA from 1 species
GCUGGGUGUGGUGGCUCACGCCUGUAAUCCCAGCACUUUGGGAGGCCGAGGUGGGUGGAUCACCUGAGGUCAGGAGUUCGAAACCAGCCUGACCAACAUGGUGAAACCCUGUCUCUA